rnacentral:rRNA from 1 species
UACGUAGGUGGCAAGCGCUGUCCGGAUUUACUGGGCGUAAAGGCUGCGUAGGCGGACAUUUAAGUCAGAUGUGAAAUACCCGAGCUUAACUUGGGUGCUGCAUUUGAAACUGGGUGUCUAGAGUGCAGGAGAGGUAAGUGGAAUUCCUAGUGUAGCGGUGAAAUGCGUAGAGAUUAGGAAGAACACCAGUGGCGAAGGCGACUUACUGGACUGUAACUGACGCUGAGGCAUGAAAGCGUGGGGAGCAAACAGG